CAUAAACACCUGCAAAGGUACGCAAAGGUACAGUUCAGAGCUCCACCAUCCUCCACCUGACUCUACCAGGGAUUAGCUGGAUGGCCCUGGCCUCUGCGGACUGGCCAUGGAUGCUUCAGAGGGAUGUGCUCUCUACCUUCCGAACAGCACAGCCGUCAUGUCCUGAGAUAUCAUGAGUGUUGACGGCAGACGAUAGGAGAAGUGGAAGGUGGAAGGGUGUCCCACUAUGUGAGGAGUGCAGGGGGAAAGCCCUUUAGAAGCCAGACCAAGCCAGGAAACUUCUCAACUGAUCAUCAGGGGAGCCUGGAUUAUUAAUGACCACCAAGGCAAAUAUACAGAAUGGGCUCUGCUUCUCAGGAGAUCAUAGCCAAGUUUUGUGAGUUCUUUGAUAUCUGCCAGAAGAAAAAGCCAUUGGUACAUGGUGAUCCCUGCAUGAGAUUUCAGGUGAGAUGGCCCACUCAGGGGAGGAGGGCAGAACCUGGGUGCCCAACCUGACGGGCAGCACGAGGGCAAAGGAAGG